GCCUGGCUAGCUCAGUCGGUAGAGCAUCAGACUUUUAAUCAGAGGUUCCAGAGUUCAAGUCCCUAAUGAGGCA
rnacentral:tRNA from 1 species